rnacentral:rRNA from 1 species
AUGAUUACGUGGAAGUGGGAUGACAUUACAAAGAGAAAUAGGUCUACUCUGCAUUUCCCACUUCCACGUAAUCAUAGUAAUAUUACCCAGUAUAGGCCUAUUUCUCUUUGUAGUGUCAUAUAUAAGAUUUGUUCCAAAGUUUUGGCUAAUCAUCUCCGCGAGAUUUUAGAUGAAAUAUUUGCAGAAGAGCAAAGUGCCUUCGUGCCGGGGAGGCUCAUAACUGAUAAUUUUUUGACGGCUUACAAAUGCAUCGAUGCCAUGAAAAGAAAGAAGGGGAAGCAAGGUUGGUGUGCAAUCAAGAUUGAUAUGAUGAAAGAAUACGACCGCGUUGAGUGGGAGUAUUUGCAGGCAAUGAUGCGCUGCCUGGGCUUCUCUGAAGAUUGGUUAUCUCUUGUGAUGAAGUGUGUCAGCUCAGUUAGCUACCAAGUGAAGGUUAAUGGUGAAUUGUUGCCCUCUUUUCGUCCUUCAAGAGGGACCAGAUGA